AGCAGUCGCCACGGGAAUACGUAGGGUGCGAGCGUUAAUCGGAAUUACUGGGCGUAAAGCGUGCGCAGGCGGUUUUGUAAGACAGGCGUGAAAUCCCCGGGCUCAACCUGGGAAUGGCGCUUGUGACUGCAAAGCUAGAGUGCGGCAGAGGGGGAUGGAAUUCCGCGUGUAGCAGUGAAAUGCGUAGAUAUGCGGAGGAACACCGAUGGCGAAGGCAAUCCCCUGGGCCUGCACUGACGCUCAUGCACGAAAGCGUGGGGAGCAAACAGGAUUAGAUACCCCUGUAGUCCCUGUCUCUUAUAC
rnacentral:rRNA from 1 species